UAGAAGUAAGACUUUUACAAGAUGUUUAAG
rnacentral:piRNA from 1 species